AUCGGGACUUGGCACAGUGAGAAAGGCUGUGCUUCCUCUUGUAGGCUUGAGCGGCGGCACUGUGAGUGAGUAACACGUAGGCAACCUGCCCUCAAGCUUGGGACAACUACCGGAAACGGUAGCUAAUACCGAAUACUUGCUUCCUUCGCCUGAAGGGAGCUGGAAAGACGGAGCAAUCUGUCACUUGAGGAUGGGCCUGCGGCGCAUUAGCUAGUUGGUGAGGUAACGGCUCACCAAGGCGACGAUGCGUAGCCGACCUGAGAGGGUGAUCGGCCACACUGGGACUGAGACACGGCCCAGACUCCUACGGGAGGCAGCAGUAGGGAAUCUUCCGCAAUGGGCGAAAGCCUGACGGAGCAAUGCCGCGUGAGUGAUGAAGGUUUUCGGAUCGUAAAGCUCUGUUGCCGGGGAAGAACGUCCUUGAGAGUAACUGCUCAAGGAGUGACGGUACCUGAGAAGAAAGCCCCGGCUAACUACGUGCCAGCAGCCGCGGUAAUACGUAGGGGGCAAGCGUUGUCCGGAAUUAUUGGGCGUAAAGCGCGCGCAGGCGGUCAUUUAAGUCUGGUGUUUAAUCCCGGGGCUCAACCCCGGAUCGCACUGGAAACUGGGUGACUUGAGUGCAGAAGAGGAGAGUGGAAUUCCACGUGUAGCGGUGAAAUGCGUAGAGAUGUGGAGGAACACCAGUGGCGAAGGCGACUCUCUGGGCUGUAACUGACGCUGAGGCGCGAAAGCGUGGGGAGCACACAGGAUUAGAUACCCUGGUAGUCCACGCCGUAAACGAUGAAUGCUAGGUGUUAGGGGUUUCGAUACCCUUGGUGCCGAAGUUAACACAUUAAGCAUUCCGCCUGGGGAGUACGGUCGCAAGACUGAGACUCAAAGGAAUUGACUGGGACCCGCACAACCACUGGAGUAUGUGGUUUAAUUCGAAGCAACGCGAAGAAACUUAACAGGUCUUGACAUCGCUCUGACCGUCCUAGAAGAUGGGGCUUUCCUUCAGGAAAGAGGAGACGGGUGGUGCAUGGGUGUCGUCCCUCCUGUCGUGAAAUGUUGGGUAGUCCCCCACCAACGCAACCUUGAUCUAAGUGCCACCUUCCGAUGGCCCUCGUAGGUGACUGCC
rnacentral:rRNA from 1 species